rnacentral:rRNA from 1 species
CCUACGGGGUGCUGCAGUGAGGAAUAUUGGUCAAUGGGCGCUAGCCUGAACCAGCCAAGUAGCGUGAAGGAUGACUGCCCUAUGGGUUGUAAACUUCUUUUAUAUGGGAAUAAAGUGCAGUAUGUAUACUGCUUUGCAUGUACCUUAUGAAUAAGGAUCGGCUAACUCCGUGCCAGCAGCCGCGGUAAUACGGAGGAUCCGAGCGUUAUCCGGAUUUAUUGGGUUUAAAGGGAGCGUAGGCGGGUUGUUAAGUCAGUUGUGAAAGUUUGCGGCUCAACCGUAAAAUUGCAGUUGAUACUGGCAGCCUUGAGUACAGUAGAGGUAGGCGGAAUUCGUGGUGUAGCGGUGAAAUGCUUAGAUAUCACGAAGAACUCCGAUUGCGAAGGCAGCCUGCUGGACUGUAACUGACGCUGAUGCUCGAAAGUGUGGGUAUCAAACAGGAUUAGAUACCCGAGUAGUC